AUUAUUACUUUAUUUUGACUUUUUCACCUUCAGGCUGAUUCUCCCACUCCUGAUGUAUCCUUUUACACCAUCUAGACCUAUGUUUCCUCCAAGUUUGUGACUCUUUGAAUACUGCAUGGAACAACCACCAAUUUCCAGCCUACAAUGAUCUUUUCCCCUCCCUUUUCUUAGGGUUUUUUGGUGUUAAUACCAGGUUUUAGUCAGUGCUACAAUUUCCCAAAGCAACACAUUUUGGCAGAGGUAAAAAUGAUGCUUUUUCCUCAGACAUCCAAAAAAGCAAGCAAAAGCAGAAAUUUGCCACAAUACAUACCGGGAGCCAGAAAUAGGAAUCCCUGAAGGCUGUUGUGAGGUGCCAUGACAUUCUGGAACAGAGUGAUCUCCAGCAGUGUUUCCUCCAAUUGCACACUUGAAAAAAGCUUACUUGGACAAUCCAUCUCCCUAGC
rnacentral:lncRNA from 1 species